rnacentral:rRNA from 1 species
UAACACAUGCAAGUCGAGGGGCAUCGGCUUGAAAGCUUGCUUUCUUUGCCGGCGACCGGCGCACGGGUGAGUAACACGUAUCCAACCUGCCCUUUACUCGGGGAUAGCCUUUCGAAAGAAAGAUUAAUACCCGAUAGUAUAAUGAUUCCGCAUGGUUUCAUUAUUAAAGGAUUCCGGUAAAGGAUGGGGAUGCGUUCCAUUAGGUUGUUGGUGAGGUAACGGCUCACCAAGCCUUCGAUGGAUAGGGGUUCUGAGAGGAAGGUCCCCCACAUUGGAACUGAGACACGGUCCAAACUCCUGCGGGAGGCAGCAGUGAGGAAUAUUGGUCAAUGGGCGCUAGCCUGAACCAGCCAAGUAGCGUGAAGGAUGAAGGCUCUAUGGGUCGUAAACUUCUUUUAUAUAAGAAUAAAGUGCAGUAUGUAUACUGUUUUGUAUGUAUUAUAUGAAUAAGGAUCGGCUAACUCCGUGCCAGCAGCCGCGGUAAUACGGAGGAUCCGAGCGUUAUCCGGAUUUAUUGGGUUUAAAGGGAGCGUGGGUGGACUGGUAAGUCAGUUGUGAAAGUUUGCGGCUCAACCGUAAAAUUGCAGUUGAUACUGUCAGUCUUGAGUACAGUAGAGGUGGGCGGAAUUCGUGGUGUAGCGGUGAAAUGCUUAGAUAUCACGAAGAACUCCGAUUGCGAAGGCAGCUCACUGGACUGCAACUGACACUGAUGCUCGAAAGUGUGGGUAUCAAACAGGAUUAGAUACCCUGGUAGUCCACACAGUAAACGAUGAAUACUCGCUGUUUGCGAUAUACAGUAAGCGGCCAAGCGAAAGCAUUAAGUAUUCCACCUGGGGAGUACGCCGGCAACGGUGAAACUCAAAGGAAUUGACGGGGGCCCGCACAAGCGGAGGAACAUGUGGUUUAAUUCGAUGAUACGCGAGGAACCUUACCCGGGCUUAAAUUGCAGUGGAAUGAUGUGGAAACAUGUCAGUGAGCAAUCACCGCUGUGAAGGUGCUGCAUGGUUGUCGUCAGCUCGUGCCGUGAGGUGUCGGCUUAAGUGCCAUAACGAGCGCAACCCUUAUCUUCAGUUACUAACAGGUCAUGCUGAGGACUCUGGAGAGACUGCCGUCGUAAGAUGUGAGGAAGGUGGGGAUGACGUCAAAUCAGCACGGCCCUUACGUCCGGGGCUACACACGUGUUACAAUGGGGGGUACAGAAGGCAGCUAGCGGGUGACCGUAUGCUAAUCCCAAAAUCCUCUCUCAGUUCGGAUCGAAGUCUGCAACCCGACUUCGUGAAGCUGGAUUCGCUAGUAAUCGCGCAUCAGCCACGGCGCGGUGAAUACGUUCCCGGGCCUUGUACACACCGCCCGUCAAGCCAUGGGAGCCGGGGGUACCUGAAGUACGUAACCGCAAGGAUCGUCCUAGGGUAAAACUGGUGACUGGGGCUAAG